GAUGAAUUUUUACCAAAAUUACAUACAUGCCCUCAGGAAUUGCAAAAGUAACAAGUACCCAUGGCCGGUCUCGUUGGCGUCUUGCAUCAACUCGGCGACCUAGCUGAUUGUUUCUUCCAAAUAAUUUGUUGAUCAGUACUGCUCCAUGUUUGACUGCAAAUUGUUGUGUCAAUGACUUAAUGCCAGUUUGAUCCUUAUGUUAUGACUCUUUCAUGAACUCAAGAAUUUAAGGCCUCAACUUUAUUCUGCUGCAAAAUACUGUGAAAGUAUGAAAAUUUUGGGGUUUAGGAAAGCACCAACAAUAUGAAAAUUUGGAGGAUGAAGUAGGAAUUUUGUACACCUUGCUUCCAAAUCUCUAAUGAUGAUGUUGGGGUUUGCCACUUACUCUUGCUGUACGCAAGUGUUCAUUCUCAACAUUAAACUAACAACAAAUAGGAGAGCUUAUGAUGAGCUACUGAACCAGAGUUAUGCAGCUGCCAAGGGAUGUCCUGAUAUGUGACUACUUGAAAGAUGGAAACAAUGGAUGCAUCAAUUCCUGAAACCAAAUUAGUAGAGGGCACAAGCCGAGUGUCAAGAAUUUCCUACUACAAAGAUAUGGAAGGCACAAGCCGGAGUGUUGAUGCAAUUGAUCAACUCAUGAUGGCGCCCUAAAAAGAAGAUAUUUGAGUAAAUUUUAUAUGGUUUAGAACUUAAUAAUAGUUUUUUUUGAAUGAUUUAAAACAUUUUGGAUGGCUUUGAACUCGAUAGUUUUUGAUAUUUAGAAACAUAAUUUUUAGAUGAUUUGGAAUGUAUAGAUAAUUUUUGGAUAUUUAGAACUUACGGAUAGUUUUGUUUUUUAUGUUUGAAAUAAUAUUUUUGUGGUUGAUUGAUAUUUAUAUAUAUAUAUAUAUAUAUAUAUAAAUGUUUGUAAAACUUGUUUGUAAUGUUUUCGUGUAUUUUAUAGAUGAAAU